rnacentral:rRNA from 1 species
CGGGGUGCAGCAGGCGCGAAAACUUUGCAAUGCGGGAAACCGUGACAAGGGAACUCUGAGUGCCCGUUAAAUCGGGCUGUCCAUCGGUUUAAAUAACCGGUGAAGAAAGGGCCGGGCAAGACCGGUGCCAGCCGCCGCGGUAAUACCGGCGGCUCGAGUGGUGGCCACUAUUACUGGGCUUAAAGCGUUCGUAGCUGGUUUGUUAAGUCUCUGGGGAAAUCUUCCGGCUUAACCGGAAGGCGUCUCAGGGAUACUGGCAGACUAGGGACCGGGAGAGGUGAGAGGUACUCCAGGGGUAGGAGUGAAAUCCUGUAAUCCUUGGGGGACCACCUGUGGCGAAGGCGUCUCACCAGAACGGCUCCGACAGUGAGGGACGAAAGCUGGGGGAGCAAACCGGAUUAGAUACCCGGGUAGUCCCAGCCGUAAACGAUGCGCGUUAGGUGUAUCGGUGACCACGAGUCACCGAGGUGCCGAAGAGAAGUCGUGAAACGUGCCGCCUGGGAAGUACGGUCGCAAGGCUGAAACUUAAA